GCAAGUCGAGGGGUAAGGCUUUCUUCGGAGAGUACACGACCGGCGCACGGGUGAGUAACGCGUAUGCAACCUGCCUCUUACAGGGAGAUAGCCCAGAGAAAUUUGGAUUAAUAUCCCAUAGUUUAUAUUUAUCGCAUGAUAGAUAUAAUAAAGCUCCGGCGGUAAGAGAUGGGCAUGCGUGACAUUAGUUAGUUGGUGAGGUAACGGCUCACCAAGUCUACGAUGUUUAGGGGUUCUGAGAGGAUUAUC
rnacentral:rRNA from 1 species